rnacentral:misc_RNA from 1 species
CGUGGCUCAGUUCAGAUCGUAGGCUGCAACUCGCCUACGUGAAGUAGGAAUCGCUAGUAAUCGCAGGUCAGCAUACUGCGGUGAAUACGUUCCCGGGCCUUGUACACGCCGCCCGUCACACCAUGGAAGUUGGCCAUGCCCGAAGUCGUUACUCCAACCCUUGUGGAGGAGGACGCCGAAGGUGGGGCUAAUGACUGGGGUGAAGUCGUAACAAGGUAGCCGUACCGGAAGGUGCGGCUGGAUCACCUCCUAACAGGGAGACAACAAAAUGUUUAAAAUUAUUAUUUUGUCACCUUAGGUCGAUCGGUAUCUCACGUUCUUGAUUUAUUAAGAAUUUCAUUUUCUAAGUUUUUCUAGGUCACACCCAUUUUUUUUCCUGGGCCAUUAGCUCAGGUGGUUAGAGCGCACCCCUGAUAAGGGUGAGGUCCCUGGUUCAAGUCCAGGAUGGCCCAUAUCUCUAUGUUGUUGGGGGUAUAGCUCAGUUGGUAGAGCGCCUGCUUUGCAAGCAGGAUGUCAGCGGUUCGAGUCCGCUUACCUCCACUGAUUACCACCUCUUCCAUAAUUUUUAAGAAAGGAAAUUUUUUGAGUUGUGAUAAUUAUUCUGAACGAAUCUAGCUUCCUAAUGAAACCAUUAAGAUGCUGGACUCAUUGAAUUAAUUUUCAUUGUUUUCAGAGAACCUUGACAACUGCAUAGAUUAUUUUUAAAGACAAUUAAGCAUCUUUUAUGAUGCAGAUUUAUUAUUUGUGCGAAUGCAUUAAUAACAAUUCUAUUAAGCUGAUGCUUCAAUUUUGAAGUUAUUGGUCAAGCUACAAAGGGCUCACGGAGGAUACCUAGGCACACAGAGGCGAUGAAGGACGUGGUUACCUGCGAUAAGUCUCGGGGA